GGGAUUGUGGCUCAGUGGGAGAGCUCUUGCCUAGCAUGCGUGAGGCACUGAGUUCAAUUCUCAAUACCA
rnacentral:tRNA from 1 species